rnacentral:rRNA from 1 species
GUAGGGAAGAAGCGAAAGUGACGGUACCUGCAGAAGAAGCGCCGGCUAACUACGUGCCAGCAGCCGCGGUAAUACGUAGGGCGCAAGCGUUAUCCGGAUUAUUGGGCGUAAAGAGCUCGUAGGCGGUUUGUCGCGUCUGCCGUGAAAGUCCGGGGCUCAACUCCGGAUCUGCGGUGGGUACGGGCAGACUAGAGUGAUGUAGGGGAGACUGGAAUUCCUGGUGUAGCGGUGAAAUGCGCAGAUAUCAGGAGGAACACCGAUGGCGAAGGCAGGUCUCUGGGCAUUAACUGACGCUGAGGAGCGAAAGCAUGGGGAGCGAACAGAUUAGAUACCCUGGUAGUCCAUGCCGUAAACGUUGGGCACUAGGUGUGGGGGACAUUCCACGUUUUCCGCGCCGUA